rnacentral:lncRNA from 1 species
GGAAGCCUCAAACUUGCACACACACAGAGCCACAUGCACACGUGGAUGUACAUGCUGGCAAAUACUGUUACACACGCACAAGUGCAGCGCAAAGAAAAAUUCUUCAGCGCCCAAAAAUAGAGUGAAAUGUGCUGCAUGAUAUUGCCGUUGUUGUUGCUGCUGCUGCUGUAGGACAGCGCAGGAAAGGAGGAGUGUGAAGUGAGGAGUGCGGAGAGGAGUGGAGGGGAUACAACGGAAACUAACCUACAUUUUCGCGCUCUUUCGCACGCUUUCGCACACACAUACACACACGCGCUCAUGCAGAG